UGGGGAAUCUUCCGCAAUGGACGAAAGUCUGAGGAACACGCGCGGGGAUGAAGACGGCCUUCGGGUUGUAAAGCUCUGUUAAUCGGGACGAAAGGCCUUCUUGCGAAUAGUUAGAAGGAUUGACGGUACCGGAAUAGAAAGCCACGGCUAACUACGUGCCAGCAGCCGCGGUAAUACGUAGGUGGCAAGCGUUGUCCGGAAUUAUUGGGCGUAAAGCGCGCGCAGGCGGAUUGGUCAGUCUGUCUUAAAAGUUCGGGGCUUAACCCCGUGAUGGGAUGGAAACUGCCAACGAGAGAUGGAAAGUGGAAUUCCUAGUGUAGCGGUGAAAUGCGUAGAUAUUAGGAAGAACACCAGUGGCGAAGGCGACUUUCUGGACGAAAACUGACGCUGAGGCGCGAAAGCCAGGGGAGCGAACGGGAUUAGAUACCCCGGUAGUCCUGGCCGUAAACGAUGGGUACUAGGUGUAGGAGGUAUCGACCCCUUCUGUGCCGGAGUUAACGCAAUAAGUACCCCGCCUGGGGAGUACGACCGCAAGGUUG
rnacentral:rRNA from 1 species